rnacentral:lncRNA from 1 species
ACGGUUGCAUUAUUGUGACCUUCCUUGUUAACCCUCUUUGAUGCACCUUCCUCCUUGGUUUUGAAAAGGAUUGUGAAAUUUGUAUUCUUACACAAAAUCAACAUUUUCUGAAAUUUCUCAAUAUACUAAUGAGAAGCACAUUACCAUCAAGUAUCCCAAGCUUCAAGGCCUAUUACUUCUAGGUAGUUCAUAUUAGCAUUUAGCAUCCUAGUUUUUUCUAACACAUGCGAUAACUCAUAGUGAGGGCAAAUAAUGUCGUUUUAUGAUGUUUUCUAAGAAGUAUAGUUUACUUUUGCUUAUUUUGUAUUAAGAAAGUGCAUGAAUGAAGAUUGUGGAUUGACUCAUUGUUUAUGAUUUAUUUAUUUUUAAUUUGACAACUCUAUAUUGUUUUGUAUUGUCGAUUAUUAGUUUAACAUGUUAAUUGAUCAAGAUAAAUAAUAUUAUAGAAGUUAUAGAGAUGUAAAGUAAUGAACAAGGACGAAUCAAACACUAAGCAUGGUGGGGAU